rnacentral:rRNA from 1 species
AUUGAACGCUGGCGGCAUGCCUUACACAUGCAAGUCGAACGGCAGCACGGACUUCGGUCUGGUGGCGAGUGGCGAACGGGUGAGUAAUGUAUCGGAACGUACCUUUCAGUGGGGGAUAACGUAGCGAAAGUUACGCUAAUACCGCAUAUUCUGUGAGCAGGAAAGCAGGGGAUCGAAAGACCUUGCGCUGAUUGAGCGGCCGAUAUCAGAUUAGCUAGUUGGUGGGGUAAAGGCCUACCAAGGCGACGAUCUGUAGCGGGUCUGAGAGGAUGAUCCGCCACAGUGAACAAGAAACACGGCAAAACCACACAGGGGAGGCAGAGGGGGGAAUUGUGGAAAAAGGGGGGAAACUGUGAACAAGCCAUGCGGGGGGAGGAAAGAGGGCUUUGGGUUUAAAAAGCUGUUGGGGGGGAGAAAAAAACGAAAGGGAAAAAACCGGGGGGGGAGAAGGUAACGAAAAAAAAAAAACCGGACAACCAACGGC